AAUCUCGAAAGCCUAUCUCAGUUCGGAUUGGAGGCUGAAACCCGCCUCCAUGAAGUUGGAUUCGCUAGUAAUCGCGCAUCAGCCAUGGCGCGGUGAAUACGUUCCCGGGCCUUGUACACACCGCCCGUCAAGCCAUGGGAGCUGGGGGUGCCUGAAGUUCGUGACCGCAAGGAUCGACCUAGGGCAAAACUGGUGACUGGGGCUAAGUCGUAACAAGGUACC
rnacentral:rRNA from 1 species